UAAUGAGAAACAAAAAUUUUGUAUUUAAUUUCGACUUAAACUUUUGGUGAAUAUUUUACCCUCAUUAG
rnacentral:tRNA from 1 species